rnacentral:rRNA from 1 species
UAUUAUGAACAACCGGAGCAAGACGAGGCAUACACGUAAGGAGUCGUCGGAAGGGUCAGAUGUGUAUAACAAACAGUCGACACACUAUCAUUAACUGAAUCCAUAGGUUAAUGAGGCGAACCGGGGGAACUGAAACAUCUAAGUACCCCGAGGAAAAGAAAUCAACCGAGAUUCCCCCAGUAGCGGCGAGCGAACGGGGAGGAGCCCAGAGCCUGAAUCAGUGUGUGUGUUAGUGGAAGCGUCUGGAAAGGCGCGCGAUACAGGGUGACAGCCCCGUACACAAAAAUGCACAUGCUGUGAGCUCGAUGAGUAGGGCGGGACACGUGGUAUCCUGUCUGAAUAUGGGGGGACCAUCCUCCAAGGCUAAAUACUCCUGACUGACCGAUAGUGAACCAGUACCGUGAGGGAAAGGCGAAAAGAACCCCGGCGAGGGGAGUGAAAAAGAACCUGAAACCGUGUACGUACAAGCAGUGGGAGCACAGAGCAAUCUGUGUGACUGCGUACCUUUUGUAUAAUGGGUCAGCGACUUAUAUUCUGUAGCAAGGUUAACCGAAUAGGGGAGCCGAAGGGAAACCGAGUCUUAACUGGGCGUUAAGUUGCAGGGUAUAGACCCGAAACCCGGUGAUCUAGCCAUGGGCAGGUUGAAGGUUGGGUAACACUAACUGGAGGACCGAACCGACUAAUGUUGAAAAAUUAGCGGAUGACUUGUGGCUGGGGGUGAAAGGCCAAUCAAACCGGGAGAUAGCUGGUUCUCCCCGAAAGCUAUUUAGGUAGCGCCUCGUGAAUUCAUCUCCGGGGGUAGAGCACUGUUUCGGCAAGGGGGUCAUCCCGACUUACCAACCCGAUGCAAACUGCGAAUACCGGAGAAUGUUAUCACGGGAGACACACGGCGGGUGCUAACGUCCGUCGUGAAGAGGGAAACAACCCAGACCGCCAGCUAAGGUCCCAAAGUCAUGGUUAAGUGGGAAACGAUGUGGGAAGGCCCAGACAGCCAGGAUGUUGGCUUAGAAGCAGCCAUCAUUUAAAGAAAGCGUAAUAGCUCACUGGUCGAGUCGGCCUGCGCGGAAGAUGUAACGGGGCUAAACCAUGCACCGAAGCUGCGGCAGCGACACUGUGUGUUGUUGGGUAGGGGAGCGUUCUGUAAGCCUGUGAAGGUGUGCUGUGAGGCAUGCUGGAGGUAUCAGAAGUGCGAAUGCUGACAUAAGUAACGAUAAAGCGGGUGAAAAGCCCGCUCGCCGGAAGACCAAGGGUUCCUGUCCAACGUUAAUCGGGGCAGGGUGAGUCGACCCCUAAGGCGAGGCCGAAAGGCGUAGUCGAUGGGAAACAGGUUAAUAUUCCUGUACUUGGUGUUACUGCGAAGGGGGGACGGAGAAGGCUAUGUUGGCCGGGCGACGGUUGUCCCGGUUUAAGCGUGUAGGCUGGUUUUCCAGGCAAAUCCGGAAAAUCAAGGCUGAGGCGUGAUGACGAGGCACUACGGUGCUGAAGCAACAAAUGCCCUGCUUCCAGGAAAAGCCUCUAAGCAUCAGGUAACAUCAAAUCGUACCCCAAACCGACACAGGUGGUCAGGUAGAGAAUACCAAGGCGCUUGAGAGAACUCGGGUGAAGGAACUAGGCAAAAUGGUGCCGUAACUUCGGGAGAAGGCACGCUGAUAUGUAGGUGAAGUCCCUCGCGGAUGGAGCUGAAAUCAGUCGAAGAUACCAGCUGGCUGCAACUGUUUAUUAAAAACACAGCACUGUGCAAACACGAAAGUGGACGUAUACGGUGUGACGCCUGCCCGGUGCCGGAAGGUUAAUUGAUGGGGUCAGCGCAAGCGAAGCUCUUGAUCGAAGCCCCGGUAAACGGCGGCCGUAACUAUAACGGUCCUAAGGUAGCGAAAUUCCUUGUCGGGUAAGUUCCGACCUGCACGAAUGGCGUAAUGAUGGCCAGGCUGUCUCCACCCGAGACUCAGUGAAAUUGAACUCGCUGUGAAGAUGCAGUGUACCCGCGGCAAGACGGAAAGACCCCGUGAACCUUUACUAUAGCUUGACACUGAACAUUGAGCCUUGAUGUGUAGGAUAGGUGGGAGGCUUUGAAGUGUGGACGCCAGUCUGCAUGGAGCCGACCUUGAAAUACCACCCUUUAAUGUUUGAUGUUCUAACGUGGACCCGUGAUCCGGGUUGCGGACAGUGUCUGGUGGGUAGUUUGACUGGGGCGGUCUCCUCCUAAAGAGUAACGGAGGAGCACGAAGGUUGGCUAAUCCUGGUCGGACAUCAGGAGGUUAGUGCAAUGGCAUAAGCCAGCUUGACUGCGAGCGUGACGGCGCGAGCAGGUGCGAAAGCAGGUCAUAGUGAUCCGGUGGUUCUGAAUGGAAGGGCCAUCGCUCAACGGAUAAAAGGUACUCCGGGGAUAACAGGCUGAUACCGCCCAAGAGUUCAUAUCGACGGCGGUGUUUGGCACCUCGAUGUCGGCUCAUCACAUCCUGGGGCUGAAGUAGGUCCCAAGGGUAUGGCUGUUCGCCAUUUAAAGUGGUACGCGAGCUGGGUUUAGAACGUCGUGAGACAGUUCGGUCCCUAUCUGCCGUGGGCGCUGGAGAACUGAGGGGGGCUGCUCCUAGUACGAGAGGACCGGAGUGGACGCAUCACUGGUGUUCGGGUUGUCAUGCCAAUGGCACUGCCCGGUAGCUAAAUGCGGAAGAGAUAAGUGCUGAAAGCAUCUAAGCACGAAACUUGCCCCGAGAUGAGUUCU